rnacentral:rRNA from 1 species
CAGCAGCCGCGGUAAUACAGAGGGUGCAAGCGUUAAUCGGAAUUACUGGGCGUAAAGCGCACGCAGGCGGUCUGUCAAGUCAGAUGUGAAAUCCCCGGGCUUAACCUGGGAACUGCAUUUGAAACUGGCAGACUGGAGUCUUGUAGAGGGGGGUAGAAUUCCAGGUGUAGCGGUGAAAUGCGUAGAGAUCUGGAGGAAUACCGGUGGCGAAGGCGGCCCCCUGGACAAAGACUGACGCUCAGGUGCGAAAGCGUGGGGAGCAAACAGGAUUAGAUACCCCUGUAGUCCCUGUCUCUUAUAC